rnacentral:sRNA from 1 species
CCCGGACCCGGAGGUCGCGGAGAGCUGGGCAGUGUUGGCCGCUGGCGGAGCGCUGGGGCAGCAUGAAGUGCCUGGUCACGGGCGGCAACGUGAAGGGUGAGUGCAGGUCGGCCUGGCAGCGGCGGUGCAGCAGCCGCGGAGCCGCCAGCCUAACCCCCUUCCGCUCUCCUCCCCGCAGUGCUCGGCAAGGCCGUCCACUCCCUGUCCCGCAUCGGGGACGAGCUCUACCUGGAACCCUUGGAGGACGGGCUCUCCCUCCGGACGGUGAACUCCUCCCGCUCUGCCUAUGCCUGCUUUCUCUUUGCCCCGCUCUUCUUCCAGCAAUACCAGGCAGCCACCCCUGGUCAGGACCUGCUGCGCUGUAAGAUCCUGAUGAAGUCUUUCCUGUCUGUCUUCCGCUCACUGGCGAUGCUGGAGAAGACGGUGGAAAAAUGCUGCAUCUCCCUGAACGGCCGGAGCAGCCGCCUGGUGGUCCAGCUGCAUUGCAAGUUCGGUGAGUGGGCAGCCGGCCAGCCAAGGGGUGCCUCAGCAGGGAGGUCGGCGAGGCCCACUGAGACCCUAUCGCCUAUCCAGGGGUGCGGAAGACUCACAACCUGUCCUUCCAGGACUGUGAGUCCCUGCAGGCCGUCUUCGACCCAGCCUCGUGCCCCCACAUGCUCCGCGCCC